UACGUAGGUGGCGAGCGUUGUCCGGAUUUACUGGGCGUAAAGGGAGCGUAGGCGGACUUUUAAGUGAGAUGUGAAAUACUCGGGCUCAACUUGAGUGCUGCAUUUCAAAUUGGAAGUCUAGAGUGCAGGAGAGGAGAAUGGAAUUCCUAGUGUAGCGGUGAAAUGCGUAGAGAUUAGGAAGAACACCAGUGGCGAAGGCGAUUCUCUGGACUAUAACUGACGCUGAGGCUCGAAAGCGUGGGGAGCAAACAGG
rnacentral:rRNA from 1 species